UGGGGAAUAUUGCGCAAUGGGCGAAAGCCUGACGCAGCGACGCCGCGUGAGGGAUGACGGCCUUCGGGUUGUAAACCUCUUUCAGCAGGGACGAAGCGCAAGUGACGGUACCUGCAGAAGAAGCACCGGCCAACUACGUGCCAGCAGCCGCGGUAAUACGUAGGGUGCAAGCGUUGUCCGGAAUUAUUGGGCGUAAAGAGCUCGUAGGCGGUUUGUCGCGUCGGCUGUGAAAACUCGAGGCUUAACUCCGAGCCUGCAGUCGAUACGGGCAGACUAGAGUUCGGCAGGGGAGACUGGAAUUCCUGGUGUAGCGGUGAAAUGCGCAGAUAUCAGGAGGAACACCGGUGGCGAAGGCGGGUCUCUGGGCCGAAACUGACGCUGAGGAGCG
rnacentral:rRNA from 1 species